rnacentral:lncRNA from 1 species
CGCGCGCGGCGGCGCCGGGCUUACCUUGACUCGGCCUCGAGGCGCGCGCGGGGCCGGCGUGCUCGGGGGCCGGACAGCGGCGGCGGCGGCGGGCGGAUGGCGGCGGCACGGCGGUGGCGGCAGCGGGGAGGGCGCGCCCGGGGCCUCGUCGCGCUCCGGCUCGGCGGACUCCGGCUCGCGCCGCGGCCGCGGGUGCUGCCGGGGGGCGCGGCGGGCGCAGCAGAGCGGCGGGCGGCGGCGGCGUCGUCGAGCGACAAUACAAGCGCCUCGGACCGAGUCCCCGAACCUGCCCUAGCCAAAAUGGCGGCCGAGAAAGAGCGGAAGUGACACAGGGUCUCACUCUGUUGUCCAGGCAUGAUCACAGCUCACUGCAGCCUUGACCUCCCAGACUCAAGUGAACCUCCCACCUCAGCCUCCCAAGUAGCUGGGACCACAGGUUAAAGAGGCUUUUGUAUACUGGAGAUAUAACCAAAAAAGGUCUAAGGUGACUUUACGCAGAGAUUGAAGGAUGAGCAGCAGAUGGUCAUCAAGGAGCAUGGAAACAGCAUUUCAGGCAAAGGAAAAUGGAACUCUGUGAACUCAGAAGCAUGCUAUGGCAUGGAAAGCAAAAAGGAAGGAGCACAAGGCAGAGGCCACCUCUCCAGGAAAGGCACCAACUAUCCAACUGCUCCAUCCACAGGUCUAGAGAUGAUUCUUGAUUUCCUGCCUUUAACCAUAACUUCUAAACUGUAAUUAAGUCCUAUUGAUUCUCCAUCCAAAACAUUUCAAUUCCCUUUUUCUUGUCUUUUACACCGUAAACCUGGUACGCUAGACCCUUGCUCUGGUAUUUGGGGCCAAAGGCCUAGGUGACAAUUACUCAGCCAGCUCCAUGCCUCAAAGUCCCACAGGGACUUGGCAGGCUAGGGUAACUUGUUAGGAGCAGGACUUGGGGAUUCCUGCAUUCUCUAGUCCAGACCCCUCACAAGUGUCUUAUGAGCAAGGCUGAACUCUUCUAACUUAUUUUGUUAAGAAGUGAAUAUCGGCUGGGUGUGGUGGCUCAUGCCUGUAAUCCCAGCACUUUGGGAGGCUGAGAUGGGUGGAUCACUGGAGGUCAGGGAGUUUGAGACUAGCCUAACCAACAUGGCAAAACCUCAUCUCUACU